rnacentral:rRNA from 1 species
GAUGAACGCUGACAGCAUGCUUAACACAUGCAAGUCUUUGGCGAAUCUGUGCUUGCACCGGCUAGCCAAGGCGGACGGGUGAGUAACGCGUAAAGAACUUGCCCUGCAGACAGGGAUAACAGACGGAAACGACUGAUAACACCUGAUACAGUUGCCGGCACGCAUGUGCCUGGCAAUGAAAAGAGAUGCUGCAGGAGAGCUUUGCGUCCUAUUAGCUUGUUGGUGAGGUGACGGCUCACCAAGGCGAUGAUAGGUAGCCGGCCUGAGAGGGUGAACGGCCACAAGGGGACUGAGAUACGGCCCUUACUCCUACGGGAGGCGGCAGUGGGGAAUAGUGGACAAUGGGGGCAACCCUGAUCCAGCAAUUCUGUGUGCACGAAGAAGGUUUUCGGAUUGUAAAGUGCUUUCAGCAGGGAAGAAGAAAGUGACGGUACCUGCAGAAGAAGCGACGGCUAAAUACGUG